GUUUUUAUAGUGUAACCAACAUUUUACUUUUUCAUUGUAAAGCUGAAAUAAUUUUUCUAAAAACA
rnacentral:tRNA from 1 species